GUGGUCCUACGGGGCGCAGCAGUGGGGAAUAUUGCACAAUGGGGGAAACCCUGAUGCAGCGACGCCGCGUGAGUGAAGAAGUAUUUCGGUAUGUAAAGCUCUAUCAGCAGGGAAGAAAAAAGACGGUACCUGAAGAAAAAGCAUCGGCUAACUCCGUGCCAGCAGCCGCGGUAAUACGGAGGAUGCGCGCGUUAUCCGGAUUUAUUGGGUUUAAAGGGUGCGCAGGCGGUCUGUUAAGUCAGCGGUCAAAGCCCGGGGCUCAACCCCGGCCCGCCGUUGAAACUGCCAGUC
rnacentral:rRNA from 1 species